rnacentral:lncRNA from 1 species
GACCCAUGCUUAUAUAAGCACUAACUCAUCAUCACUCAUAAUUCAUAAAUAUACCAGCUACCCAUUAAUUUUUAUAUAUGAAUUGACAUCGUUUGGUGCACAUAUAUUUUAUCGUUAUAUAUACGCAUGGAUUGUUGGAUUAACUGCAUGUUUAAGUGGGUGUGAGAUUUUAGUGGGUGUGGGUGUAUUUAGCGCAUUGGCCAUCCUACUAUGUAGAAGUGCGCCGGAAUAGAACGGUGUUACUUAUUUAUAGUGCCGUCGGCGCUUGCUUCAUGAUGUGGGUUUCCACUGUGUUAAAGACCUUGAGGUGACACCUGGACACUUACCUGGAUAACAUUUUUUAAUGUAGAGUUUGGGGAAGAUUUUGUAUAAAUUUUCUACAUUAACACUGGGACUAUUAACUAGUUAAUAGUUCAAGAUUAACCUGAUCUUUUUUUAAUGUUAUGUUUUUGAAGAAAUUUUAUCAAUUUACUCAGAAUUGUUUGAAUUUCUAUUCCAUAAAUUAACUUGAUGAAAUAUUGACGUCAUAAAUUACUAUACUCAAAUAUACUAUCCAUUCUCAAUUUUAUAUUAUUAUUGGAAGACUAAAAAUGUUAAUUUUGCAUAUAGAUAAUUUAAAAUUCAAAUAAAAUCUUUUAAUCCAUCUUCAACAAUGAUUUGUCUUAAUUCAUAUAAACAGCAAUCUUCGACAAUUAAUACUGCUUGGGUGGCUUCACCAAACUGAAUUCCGAACUCCAUAUUGAUCUUUGUUUGUGUGCUUGAACAUUGACGUCAUAGAUUAAAUGACGUCAAAACGUUAUUGAAGAUCAAAUCAGGAGACAAAUUUCCGGGGUUCAUUUGGGAACUUAUUUGAAAGGUGAACUUUCAAAUGAAUUGAUUUAAUUUAAUAUAAUAAUUGACCAUUAAUAAUGUAAGAUUCUCAAUAGCAUAUUUAUAUAUGAUAUGUAGAUCAUACCCCAAAAUCAAUAUACAGUUAUCAAACGUAAAUGCAUUUUAUUAUACGAUGUCAUUAAAAAGGAGGGCCAUUUUUAUAUAAAAUCUCGCAACAUUAUGACCCAUAUUUUUGGCACAUCCCCGUAUACCAAUAAUAGGAAGUUACCCCCCCCC